rnacentral:rRNA from 1 species
UAAUACAGAGGUCUCAAGCGUUGUUCGGAUUCAUUGGGCGUAAAGGGUGCGUAGGCGGCGCGGUAAGUCGGGUGUGAAAUCUCGGAGCUUAACUCCGAAACUGCAUUCGAUACUGCCGUGCUUGAGGACUGGAGAGGAGACUGGAAUUUACGGUGUAGCGGUGAAAUGCGUAGAUAUCGUAAGGAAGACCAGUGGCGAAGGCGGGUCUCUGGACAGUUCCUGACGCUGAGGCACGAAGGUCAGGGGAGCAAACGGGAUUAGAUACCCCGGUAGUCCUGACAGUAAACGGUGCACGUUUGGUGUGGGAGGAUUCGACCCCUUCUGCGCCGGAGCUAACGCGUUAAACGUGCCGCCUGGGGAGUACGGUCGCAAGAUU